AUAACAAAACAAUGUAUUGGAUUUAAACCCCAAAAAUGAAAAUUUUAUAUUUUCUAUUAGAA
rnacentral:tRNA from 1 species